ensembl:lncRNA
GGCUAUAUUUUUAUAUAAAAUAAUAAAAUGUUAAAUACACCAGUUUCAGUGUUGAUGAGGUAAUACAGAUAUAAACAAGAAUUUUAAACAUUAAAUAUAAAAAGUAUUUUGUCAAUAAAAAUAAAUAAAUUUCCUAUAUAUAUAUAUAUAUAUAUAUCAAUGAGAAAAAUCAUUGCUGAAGAGUCACUUAACAGAUAAGACUCAGUUAUGACUCCAGGGAGAAGGGGACUACCGUCGGGGCGUGGUUCAUACGAAAGCGAACCAAUAGCGGGCAGCGGGGGCGUGGCCUUCCCGCCCGUGACUCCGCCCCGACACUUGUGAACUCGAGCGUGAUUGAAAGCGGAGCUCCGCAGGUGAAGCGCUCUCUCUGUGUUCGGAGCUCAAACUGGAUCAGAUCUGAACUGACGCUGUUACAGGAUCAUCUGAGAGCCACUCUGUGUCAGAUCCAGGCUCAGAAUCGGAGCAGUCGCGCACAGAAUCCAGACCACAGCAGACAGACGACACACAGCUACCGGCAUCAGGACACAGCAGCCCGGUGAGAGCUCAGAAACAUCCCAUCAUCUCAGUCCAGCCUGUAGUGCUGUAGUGCUUCACUGUCAGAUCAGGAGCUAGUAGCAUGGUUAACUUUAUAGCUCAGUCACUAGGGAUCAGUGUUGGGGGGAGUUACUUUUAAAAGUAAUGCAUUACAAUAUUGCGCUGCUCCCUAAAAAAGUAACUAAUUUAGUUACUUAGUUACUUUUGAGUUACUUUUGAGUUACUUUUUAAAUCUGGGCAGGGCUUGCGUGUUCGUUUUUAAUAUUACAAAGUUCUUCUUUUACAAAUAUAAAACCCCUUUCACAUCAAAAGUGUUACUUAUUUGAAAAACUUUGAUAUUUCCUUCUAAAUUAAAAAGUAAUGCAUUACUUGUUACUUUAAGUAAUCUGAUUAUGUAAUGCGUUACCCCCAACACUGCUAGUGAUAGGUUGAAAAUAUCAAUAUCUUGAUUUUAAUCAGUUCUCGUUUUAAUGAACCAACGUCAGUUCUUAAAUCCCAAGAAUCAAUGCACGCUGCUUGAAACUGAUGCAUGAACAAAACUUAAUGAAACUUUAUGAACUUAAUGAAAGUGUUUGUAGCUCGUCCUCAUCCAAAAAAUCAGAAUAAUCUUUGUGCUUUGUUACUUUUGAGACAAAGUCUCUGCUUUCAGAUUCUGUCAGUUUUAUAAUGCAAUUCAAACAGUGAAUGUGCUUUUGUGGCUCUUUAAUGUGUGCUGACAGAUGGCUGUAGUGAAGCGAUCAUCUCUUCUUCUUUACUACUAGUUAUAGCAGCAAAUAAACGUGAAUGAACUUCAGAAGAACA